UACGGAGGGGGGCUAGCGUUGUUCGGAAUUACUGGGCGUAAAGCGCACGUAGGCGGCUUUGUAAGUUAGAGGUGAAAGCCCGGGGCUCAACCCCGGAAUUGCCUUUAAGACUGCAUCGCUUGAAUCCGGGAGAGGUGAGUGGAAUUCCGAGUGUAGAGGUGAAAUUCGUAGAUAUUCGGAAGAACACCAGUGGCGAAGGCGGCUCACUGGACCGGCAUUGACGCUGAGGUGCGAAAGCGUGGGGAGCAAACAGG
rnacentral:rRNA from 1 species